rnacentral:tRNA from 1 species
GGCAACGAUUGGCGGUGUUGCGGCAGACUGUAAAUCUGUUCCCAUGUGGUAAACAUUGGCGGUUCGAUUCCGCCCUUUUCCA